GACGAACGCUGGCGGCGUGCUUAACACAUGCAAGUCGAACGGAAAGGCCCUGCUUUUGUGGGGUGCUCGAGUGGCGAACGGGUGAGUAACACGUGAGUAACCUGCCCUUGACUUUGGGAUAACUUCAGGAAACUGGGGCUAAUACCGGAUAGGAGCUCCUGCUGCAUGGUGGGGGUUGGAAAGUUUCGGCGGUUGGGGAUGGACUCGCGGCUUAUCAGCUUGUUGGUGGGGUAGUGGCUUACCAAGGCUUUGACGGGUAGCCGGCCUGAGAGGGUGACCGGCGACAUGGGGACUGAGAUACGGCCCAGACUCCUACGGGAGGCAGCAGUGGGGAAUAUUGCACAAUGGGCGGAAGCCUGAUGCAGCAACGCCGCGUGCGGGAUGACGGCCUUCGGGUUGUAAACCGCUUUCGCCUGUGACGAAGCGUGAGUGACGGUAAUGGGUAAGGAAGCACCGGCUAACUACGUG
rnacentral:rRNA from 1 species